AACUAACGCUGGCGGCGUGCCUAACACAUGCAAGUCGAACGAGAAGCCCGCAAGGGUUGUAAAGUGGCGGACGGGUGCGUAACACGUGGGUAAUCUACCCUAUGGCCUGGGAUAACCUGCCGAAAGGCGGGCUAAUACCGGAUAAGACCACGGCUCUGCGGAGCUGUGAGAAAAGACUCGCAAGGGUCACCGUUGGAUGAGCCCGCGGCCUAUCACGGUAGUUGGUGGGGUAAUGGCUCACCAAGCCUACGACGGGUAGCUGGUCUGAGAGGACGACCAGUCACACUGGAACUGAGACACGGUCCAGACUCCUACGGGAGGCAGCAGUGGGGAAUAUUGCGCAAUGGGCGAAAGCCUGACGCAGCAACGCCGCGU
rnacentral:rRNA from 1 species